AGCAGAACAAGUCUUUGGGUUCACAAACAAUACAUAUGACAUAUCACUCCAACUUAAUUGUAGGUCUUCCAAAUCUCCAGCAGCUUGAAGAUCCCCCAAACCUUAGUGAACUUGUGUACCUUUGGGAAACCUGCAAAAAAUCAGAAGAUGUUACAUACAAAAGAUGCACUCAGAACUUAAGGAAGAAGUUACAACAAUCACAUGCGACAGAUGCAUAUGUUCUGAAAUAUAGAGCAACCAGUAACAUCUCUAGAGUAAUCUCUACUAUAGUAGAGAACAAGUCCAUUUUUUAUCAUCUUAACAUGUAACAAGCUUAUCUUACUUCUCAUCAAAAUAUAGUGUGCAAAGUCUGUACAAAUAUUAACAGGAAGAUGUUACAACAAUCACAUACAACAACCGCAUGGCCACAUACAACAGCUGAAUAUGUUCUGAAGCAUAGAGCAACUAGUAACAUCUCUACUUUAGUAGAGAACAUGUCCUUUUCUUAUCAUAUUGACAGUAGCAAAUUUAUAUUACCUCUCAUCCAAAUAUAGUGUGCAAAGUCUGUACAAAUAUUAACAGUAGAAGGAAGUUACAUUACCUUGUCAGAGUUAUUCGUAAACGAGAUGGCUGUAAGGUUGGUGUUAUUAUCGCCAAAGCAUUAUAAUCCACC
rnacentral:lncRNA from 1 species